CAGACCCGGAGCAGCAUGUGGACUCUCAGGUGCCACGCAGUUGCCGGCCUCCUGUCGUCCCCCAGCCUGGCCCAGGCCCAGACCCUCACCUGGGCCCCGCGGCCAGCAGAGUUGACCCCGCUCUGAGGUCUCCGGGGCCUGCACACUGGCAUGGAUGCAACCUGCACACCCCACCACGCCAGUUCGAACCUCCAUGGCCUCAACCAGAUUCAGAAUGUCAAAAAGCAGAGUGUCUAUUUGAUGAAUUUGAGGAAAUCGGGAACUUUGGGUCACUCAGGCUCUCUAGAUGACACCAUCUAUGAAAGACUAGCAGAGGAAACGCUGGACUCUUUAGCAGAGUUUUUUGAAGACCUUGCAGACAAGCCAUACACCUUUGAGGACUAUGAUGUUUCCUUUGGGAGUGGUGUCUUAACAGUUAAACUGGGUGGAGAUCUAGGAACCUACGUGAUCAACAAGCAGACGCCAAACAAGCAAAUCUGGUUAUCUUCUCUAUCCAGAUAUUAUAUGGAGUUGCUGGAGUACGAGAAGAGCUUCUUCAUCCCAGCAGCUUUCAAAGUGAAGCAGCAGCUCAUGCCUCUAGAUAUAGAAUUAUUAGACUUACCCCUGGCUGAGAGUAGGAGAAACAAUGUAUGGAAAUGUUUCUUCUCUAGAUUCUGGGAUAAAGGCUCCUCUGCUGCUCUCAGGAACUUGGACUUUCCUGAUCUCACUGGAAAUCAGAAAAAUGGCUUUGCUUUCGCCCUUUUGCAACAGGCAAACGGUUGA